rnacentral:tRNA from 1 species
GCCUGGGUGGCUCAGUCGGUUGAGCGACUGACUUCGGCUCAGGUCACGAUCUCACGGUUUGUGAGUUCGAGCCCCACGUCGGGCU